ACUGAACCUUAUCAUUUAGAGGAAGGAGAAGUCGUAACAAGGUUUCCGUAGGUGAACCUGCGGAAGGAUCAUUGUCGAAACCUGCACAGCAGAACAACCCGCGAACAAGUUUCAAUAAUAAAAUAUGGGGGCUCCGAGCGUCGGGCUCGGGACUCCUUUCCACCUAACCAAACCCCGGCGCAAGACGCGCCAAGGAACAUCACAAACGAUUCUGCACUGGCCCGCAGCACCAGAAAUGGAGCGCUGGUGGGUUGUGCAUCGUGUACAAUGUAUGCAAAAACGACUCUCGGCAACGGAUAUCUCGGCUCUCGCAUCGAUGAAGAACGUAGCGAAAUGCGAUACUUGGUGUGAAUUGCAGAAUCCCGUGAACCAUCGAGUCUUUGAACGCAAGUUGCGCCCGAAGCCAUAUGGCCAAGGGCACGUCUGCCUGGGCGUCACACAACGUUGCCCCCUCCAGAAACCUCCAAAAAAAGGCUGGGAGGGGUGGAUGAUGGCCUCCCGUGUGCCAAGAGGUGUGCGGCUGGCCAAAAUACGAGUCCUCGGCAAGGAGUGCCGCAGCAAUCGGUGGUUGUCAAGCCUUCGGUGCCAGUUGCGUGCGCGAGUUGCAGUGAUGGUCUCCUCAUGAUAGACCCCAUUGCGCUGCGACGGCAGCGUUUCCAACGCGACCCCAGGUCAGGCGGGGCYACCCGCUGAGUUUAAGC
rnacentral:rRNA from 1 species